AAAAAUGACAAUGCUUGAGAAUUAGCAAAUGAACGCAUCCAUUACAUUACGAAAUACCAAAAUAUCAUAUCAAGCAUUCAAAUAUCAUAAUGAAGUUCAACAACACCCUACAAAUAGUUUGAUAAGUGGUAUUUAGCCUAAAUUUCACAUAUAAGUCGAGGUAGCUUUACAAAACAAAUCCAAGUCCCAAAAAAAAAAAAGUGUUGUCAUGACAUUUCCUAAGUAUAAGAUUUUCUUUAUUGUCCUUGAGUCAAUUAGCAACUCCUGCUGCUGAUCUUCGAAAAAGCUAAAAUGAGCAACAUAUCUGCAGUGAAGUACUGCAAUUAUUAGUAGGUCAUAAGAAAAACUCGAGACAAUAAAGAUAACUAAAGAAUUUGCAAGAAAAUAAGCUAAAUCAUUCCUUUUAAGUAUAAUCUAGACAAUGACUAAAUAAGAGCAAAGUAAGAGAUGAGCACUUGGAACAUUAGAGCUCAAGAAACACUUCUUUUACUUUCACUACGUUAUUAAGACCUCAAGAAACAGUUAAUAUGCUUAUGCUAACCAAACAGUGAUCCUUUUAUGGCUUCAUAGGCUCCAUUUGUAUGGUUCAUUCUAUAGAUUAUGUAUAGCAACUUCAACUUCAAGUAUUGAAAAUGCAUAUUGUUUAUCGCUAGACCAAAUUUCAAUGACAAAUAAAAUUUGACAUAUAUAGAUAUUCUUAGCGCCCAUUGGUAAUAUUUUAAUGAAUUUAAUAAUAAAAUAUUUGAUGCAUCUAAUAUUUUAGUGAAACUUUGUGAAAAAAAAUGGAAAAGAUGCUCCACUAUAAAUCGAAGCUUCUAACUAUGAGGCGAACCAGUACAUUCACUAACCAACCUACUUUCAAUUUUCAAAAGUUCUAAUAGCAAAUAUCACAUGCUAGUAGCUUAAAUAGCAUAAAAGUAAGUAGUUAUAAAGAAAAGUUUGCAUAAGAUGUGAUGAAAUACCAGAUUAUGAAAUUUUUUUCUACUAGUUAGCUUAGAGACCACUUGUAGCUUGUUUAUAUGCAAAUGUCUCCUAGAAACAAAGUGAAAAUUGUCACUUUUACAGAAACUUUGUUGACAUGACCCAACCAUUUGAAACAAGUCUAACAUAGAUAGAAAGGAGUAUAUACUUACCCAAAAAAAUCACAAUAAUUGGAAAUUCCAUAGCAAGGACCAAUAGCAUCAGC
rnacentral:lncRNA from 1 species